AGGGUGCGUUAAUGUAUAGGCCAGGACAAACGUAACACUAUCUGGUGCAAAUAUUCUGGCGGUGGUGCCACGUUUUCUGCGAGCAUGCUGUGUUGCUGCCGGCGGCGGUGGUGGUGGUGGUGGUGGGAACGGUGUAGACGUGGAAGUAGAAGUAGUAAUAGUAGUAGUAGAAGUAAAAGUAGUGAACUUAACCCGUCCGCUGCGAUUGGCACGGAUUUGGCUUUCACUGGUAGCCUGGUAACUAUACUCCCAUGUCUUUCUAUGCCUCUGUGGUGGAUAGUGGAGUGUUUCCCAUGUGGUAUUGGUGUGCUGGAUAUCCCCUCCCAAGGUACAGGACUUUACAUUCCUCUUCAUUGAAUUGUAGCAGACACUUUUUGUUCCAUUUCUGUAGCUUGGUGAGGUCUGACUGUAGGAAACCCGUAGUCAAGGGGUUAAUACUAGAAUUUGCACGUAAACGCAGUGAAAACUACUAAAAUUAUACUGUUAUUACUUAUAACACUUUUUUUCCACCUCUAUCAACAAUUUGGCAGCCCUCAGCAGUAGUACAUUAGCAACACCAAGUUCUAACACGGCAGGGUUGUGAUGAGGCGGUGACAGGCGGUGAUGUCAGGUGGUGGGGACAGGCUCGCCAGGACAACACGCAGCACAGUUUUCCCGUUCGCUGCCAGAAUCAACACGUGUCGUCAAAAUUGUGUAAUAAUUUAUAUGCAAACUAUAUUUCGCGUGUGUGCAAAAAUUUCCGCUCGUAAAACAUGUUGUAAGAAAUAAUUUAUUCAAAAUGGAGGGGAAGAUUGUUAGUUAGUCGUGUGUGUGUGUGUGUGUGUUGAGCGCUGGGUGGGGCCACCUUAUAAGGCAGGUCUACCUACCUCCGCGACUAGACCUUACCAGAAACGCCAACACACACACACACACACACACACACACACACACACACACACACACACACACACACACACACACACACUCACACGUCACAUUCCCACUCCUUCGAUGCAAGACCUCUUCUGCAAUAGUCUAACCCCCAAAAAUGUGUCGGUGGGGUGCAGGGAAGGAAGAAGGGGUGGAUGGUAGCAGACGGGCAGGGUUGAUGCAUGGUGGGAAGGGGUGAGGCCAGGGGCGGCAGGGAGAAACAUGCUGGGGUAAGUAUGUGGGAGGAAAGGGUGUCGAGGAGUGGAGGAUGUGUGUGUGAGGGGCGAAGGAGGCGUGUGGAGGAGGAAUGCACAUGAAUGAGUGUGGCGGGAGGAGAGGAGAGAGGGGGAGGGAUUGGCAUGAGGCAAAGAUGAGAGGGAUGGACAAGAGUAUGUCGCCGUGUGGGAGGAGAAGAAGGAGGGAAGACAGGAGUGAGAGGUCUGUGAGGGAGGAUGUAGUGGAGGUUUGGGUGAGCGAACAAGAAUGUGUCGUGGUGCCUGGAGGCGUGGCGAGGCUGGUGGUGGAUGAGCCGGUGGUGGCGGUGGUGGUGGCGGCGCUGAGCAGGUGGUUAUGACACGAGGAUAGCAUGAGGGAGGGACGUGGCGAGGCUGGUGAAGGUGGUGGUGGCGGUGCGGCGAUGUGCAGGCGGUGGUGACAUGAGGAUCAGCGUAGGGGGGAAGGGGUGCUGGCCGCCGAGCCUUGAGCCUGUGACGCAGUGUGAUUGUAUCGUUUAUUUUUAACAUUAUUUUUCACUUCACAUUUUUCAGCGAGCAUAAUGCUCGGCCAAGUCAUGGCUUAUAAGCCUUUAAAUGUAUGCCGAUACUUUGAUGCACCAAACACGGUGGUAAAACAUUCACGCUCUGCAUCAUGGCCGUACAUAUAUUUUUGAGUAGAGGUUUUCAUGAUAUGCUUCUCAUCGGACGCUGUAGUUUUGCAGUGCGAAGUAUCUUUGGCGUAGUAUCCAUGUAAAACAUUGCUGUGGUGUAACUGAACUUACUUGUAGAAAGCUUCCCAGAGGGAACAAAAUCCAGUACUCGCAACGACAAGGUGGAAUGGGUGUUCACGUGGCCCCACAGGUGAGGCCGUCAGCCCAUCUUGGGUUACGCGGUAAUGCCACUUCCCCGCCAAAUGGCGCCGUGGUCAAGGCACGCACGUCCGACCAUCAGAUGAAGAGUCACGAUUUCUGCGCCAACCAACCCUCAUCGAUGCACGGGACGGCUUUCGUUACGUAGAGGACGCUUCGUCGAGGCUGAGGCAUUCCUUAUGAGGCUCACUGAACCGUCAAGAGUGUUUGCUACACGGAGCGGCCUCGCCGAGCUGCUUAUGAGGCAGGGCUGUGGAGGGCGUGUCAGGCAGCACGCAGGGCGCCUCGUUACGAAGCCCAGAGUCCGCCAGGCGGGACAGGCGCCGCUAAAAGGCUAUCAGGGGUGAGGGGUGGCGGGGCAGAGCCGGCGGGGGAGCGAGUGCUUGAGAGGAGAGAUGAGAUAUACAAGCGAGGGGGGAGGAAUGCACGCCCUGAAGAGGGACGCCGAGGAGAGGCAGGCGGCGGGCGGGCGGCGGGUGGCGGGCACGUUGCUCCACCUGUGUUGUUGCUGGCAGAAACGGUGACGGUGCGGGGGGCUGCAGAGGGAGGGAGGCUUCCUGCAGGCGUGCAGGAGUGAGUGAAGAGGAGGGAGAGGAUGAAGAGGAGACGGAGAUGAAAAUAUAAAGAGAAAAAGGAUGGAGAAGAGGUAGACGCAAAGCCAAUGGAGAGACGGAUAAGAAGGACAACAAACAGGUCUUGGGAUAAAGCAACAGUGUGGCUUGAGAAGCACUGGGGGCCGGGCGGGGGCGGGGGAGGCCUGAGUGUUCUUGUAGGUGUGGUGGCGGUGUGUGGCCAGGGGUGGUGAUGAGAGACGGGGGGUAAUACUUUAGUGGUGGUGGUGCUGACUUGAGCAUCCAAGGAACCCUCACCCUCGAGCACUGGAAAGCAACUCACUGUUCCCUCCCUGAUUCACAAGUCGCGAGAGGAGGAGGAGGAGGAGGAGCUUAUUGCCAUGCAUGCCUCAUCACCAGUAGGCACGCGGAGUCCUGCCUCACCUCUAAGUCUCGUAAGUACGCCGGGGAGGAGGGCAAGCAGGGAGGGAGGAAGGGGGCUGGCCAAGUGCGUGUAACCAUAUGGCAAGACACUAAGCUCCAUAUUCUUAGACAUUUCGGCGGCCAGGCACAUACAUUUGACAAGGCUUUCGUAGGAGUUGUGGGCCUUUCCAGGGGUUGUUUUUUUUGCCCUUCUGGUAGUCUGACCGUCCUUCCGUACCAGGGACCCCCCAGAAAAACUCAUUAUAACCAGACUGACCUCCUUUUUGGCCUUUGGAAAUAAUUGAUGUGAGAGGCAGAAGCGUCUAACAACACCAAUAAAGCCCAUAUUCUUAAACGUACCGGACUCCCAUUACGGCCGUUCACCAAGGCCACUGACAAGAUUAACCGGGUGUCCAUGGGUGAUUCUCCCGUUCAUGGAGCAGAAGUCACGUAAGCCUGUCACUAGCACUCUCAAAACAGUCCAUGGAAAUCCCAGCAACUUCCACGAGAGGCUUUUCAAACGGGUGAACUGAGGCGCCGAUGUGUUGAAUAAUACGUGCUUAAAAAAACAAAAAACAAAAACAAAGAGGAAGAAGAUCAAGGACUAAACACUAUAAAAAAAACAAAGAGGAAGAAGAUCGAGGACUAAACACUAUAAAAAAAACAAAGAGGAAGAAGAUCAAGGACUAAACACUAUAAAAAAAACAAAGAGGAAGAAGAUCGAGGACUAAACACUAUAAAAAAAACAAAGAGGAAGAAGAUCAAGGACUAAACACUAUAAAAAAAACAAAGAGGAAGAAGAUCGAGGUCUAAACACUAUAAAAAAAACAAAGAGGAAGAAGAUCGAGGACUAAACACUAUAAAAAAAACAAAGAGGAAGAAGAUCAAGGUCUAAACACUAUAAAAAAAACAAAGAGGAAGAAGAUCGAGGUCUAAACACUAUAAAAAAAACAAAGAGGAAGAAGAUCGAGGACUAAAUACUAUAAAAACACAAAGGAGGAAGAUCAAGGACCAAACACUAUAAAAAAAACAAAGAGGAGGAAGAUCAAGGACUAAACACUAUAAAAAAAAAACAAGAGGAAGAAGAUCAAGGACUAAAUACUAUAAAAAAACAAAGAGGAAGAAGAUCAAGGACUAAACACUAUAAAAAAAACAAAGAGGAAGAAGAUCAAGGACUAAACACUAUAAAAAAAAC